rnacentral:rRNA from 1 species
GACGUAGGGACCGAGCGUUGUCCGGAUUCAUUGGGCGUAAAGAGCACGUAGACAGUUUUUCUAUGUAUCACUUGAAAGCUCAAAGCUCUACUUUGAGAGAGAGUUGUUUAUACAUAAGAAACUUGAGUGAGUGAGAGGAGAAUGGAAUCCUAGAGGAGAGGUAAAAUUUGUUGAUUUUAGGAGGAACAACCGAAAGCGAAAGCAAUUCUCUAACACUCCACUGACGGUUGAGGUGCGAAAAGCGUGGGAUCAAAAGGG